rnacentral:rRNA from 1 species
UUUCCGUCCGGAGGGACCACCUCUGAAGCCUUGAACUUACAAGCCUGCAUCCCCGCAGGCAACACUAGUCCGUUGCUGGGAGUCUCCUGUAGAUAAUCAGCAGCCACGAUGCACAAUUGUGGUUCACAGAUCAAACACUAGUGGCCCAUAGCCCUAUGGGUUGAAAUAUGACCGGCUCCCUCUCGAAAUAGAGGGACCAUCGCGUUCCGUAGGUGAACCUGCGGAAGGAUCAUUAC